rnacentral:rRNA from 1 species
GACGAACGCUGGCGGCGUGCCUAAUACAUGCAAGUAGAACGCUGCAGAGAGGAGCUUGCUCUUCUUGGCUGAGCUGCGAACGGGUGAGUAACGCGUAGGUAACCUGCCUUGUAGCGGGGGAUAACUAUUGGAAACGAUAGCUAAUACCGCAUAACAAUGGAUGACACAUGUCAUUUAUUUGAAAGGGGCAAUUGCUCCACUACAAGAUGGACCUGCGUUGUAUUAGCUAGUAGGUGAGGUAAUGGCUCACCUAGGCGACGAUACAUAGCCGACCUGAGAGGGUGAUCGGCCACACUGGGACUGAGACACGGCCCAGACUCCUACGGGAGGCAGCAGUAGGGAAUCUUCGGCAAUGGGGGCAACCCUGACCGAGCAACGCCGCGUGAGUGAAGAAGGUUUUCGGAUCGUAAAGCUCUGUUGUAAGUCAAGAACGGGUGUGAGAGUGGAAAGUUCACACUGUGACGGUAGCUUACCAGAAAGGGACGGCUAACUACGUG